GGUAAGCAUGGGCGUGCGGACGCGGUAGGACUUGGGGUGCAGGCGUUGGCCGGAGUCAUUGGGCGUAAAGCGCGGGUAGGCGGCGUCGGAAGGCCGUUGUGAAAGUGCAGGGCUCAACCCUGGAAUGCCGAGGGAUAGUGCGGAGCUAGAGUCCGGAAGAGGCGAGUGGAAUUCCUGGUGUAGCGGUGAAAUGCGCAGAUAUCAGGAGGAACACCAAUGGCGAAGGCAGCUCGCUGGGACGGUACUGACGCUGAGACGCGAAAGCGUGGGGAGCAAACAGGAUUAGAUACCCGGGUAGUC
rnacentral:rRNA from 1 species